CCUACGGGCGGCUGCAGUGGGGAAUAUUGGACAAUGGGCAAAAGCCUGAUCCAGCCAUGCCGCGUGUGUGAAGAAGGCCUUCGGGUUGUAAAGCACUUUCAGUGGGGAAGAAAGCCUUGGGGCUAAUACCCUCGAGGAAGGACAUCACCCACAGAAGAAGCACCGGCUAACUCCGUGCCAGCAGCCGCGGUAAUACGGAGGGUGCGAGCGUUAAUCGGAAUUACUGGGCGUAAAGCGCGCGUAGGCGGUCUGAUAAGCCGGUUGUGAAAGCCCCGGGCUCAACCUGGGAACGGCAUCCGGAACUGUCAGGCUAGAGUGCAGGAGAGGAAGGUAGAAUUCCCGGUGUAGCGGUGAAAUGCGUAGAGAUCGGGAGGAAUACCAGUGGCGAAGGCGGCCUUCUGGACUGACACUGACGCUGAGGUGCGAAAGCGUGGGUAGCAAACAGGAUUAGAUACCCGGGUAGUC
rnacentral:rRNA from 1 species